UAAGGAAUAUUGCUCAAUGGGAGAAAUCCUGAAGCAGCAACGCCGCGUGGAGGAUGAAGGGUCUAUGACUUGUAAACUCCUGUAAAGAAGGAAAAAAUUCCCAUUUGAUGGGAGAUGAUGGUACUUCUGGAGUAAGCCCCGGCUAACUACGUGCCAGCAGCCGCGGUAAUACGUAGGGGGCAAGCGUUGUCCGGAUUUACUGGGUGUAAAGGGUGCUAAGGCGGAUUUGUAAGUCAGAGGUGAAAUCUUACAGCUUAACUGUGAAACUGCCUUUGAUACUGCAAGCCUAGAGUAUUGAAGAGAGUGGUGGAAUAUCUGGUGUAGCAGUGAAAUGCGUAGAUAUCAGAUAGAACACCAAUGGCGAAGGCAGUCACUUGGUCCAUUACUGACGCUAAAGCACGAAAGCGUGGGUAGCAAACA
rnacentral:rRNA from 1 species